CAUCGCCGCGGGAAUACGAAGGGUGCAAGCGUUAAUCGGAAUUACUGGGCGUAAAGCGCGCGUAGGUGGUUUGGUAAGAUGGAUGUGAAAUCCCCGGGCUCAACCUGGGAACUGCAUCCAUAACUGCCUGACUAGAGUACGGUAGAGGGUGGUGGAAUUUCCUGUGUAGCGGUGAAAUGCGUAGAUAUAGGAAGGAACACCAGUGGCGAAGGCGACCACCUGGACUGAUACUGACACUGAGGUGCGAAAGCGUGGGGAGCAAACAGGAUUAGAUACCCCUGUAGUCCCUGUCUCUUAUACC
rnacentral:rRNA from 1 species